rnacentral:sRNA from 13 species
AAUUUUAUAGUUUCUGAGAUCUCGAUUGAUUUUUUUUCGGGGCUGAAUUGCUUAUACCAGUGGUUAAAGGAUGACCAGUUUUCCAAUUCGAUGUCGAGCAAUAUCUUUUUUAAUUUUUCCAGAUGCCCUGUUGCACUCCAGGUGACGAUUUUCGCACAAAAGGUUGUUGUUGUUGUUUAAGUUUUGGAUUCCUUGCAGGGUGGACAGACUGUCACUGCAGAUGAUAUGUCUCCCUUAAGUUCAAGAGCCAAUUUACUUGCCUAAAUGAUGGCGGUAAAAACCGAGGAGUAGUGGGGAAGAUGACCCCAUGGAACAACAGAUCCGCCUUCGUCUACUACUGCAAAGGUAGUCGAUGCGUCGGACUUUGAGCCGUCCGUGUAAAACCAUUUCCGAUCGGCGUAUUUAUGGGUAGCUAAACAUUGUAGAAGUUUAAACAUUGCAGUAGGCGUCCUGA